ensembl:lncRNA
CAGUUGGUUCCAAUAGUCAACUGACUUGGUCACUAUCACACUGACCCUCCCUCAGGACAGGCAGGAAACAUACUUUAUACUGCUAAAUUGUUCAACUCAACAUUGCAUAGAAAUCAGGGGUUUCCUUUCUCACCAAGAAACCAUCUGUGGACCCUCAUAUAUCACAUCAGUAAUAAAUAGUAACUUAAAUUCUAUGGAAGUGAAUUUCAAGGGAAAUUGAAAGUGGAAGUGGAAGACGUUCUUAAGGACAAUCUAAACACUACUGAACGACAGGUCCAUAUCCAUACAAGGCCACUCCUCCGUGGACAUCGACUGAGAUUAAAUUUUUGCCUCAAAGUUUACCAUAACUAUUCAAGAAAACUCAGCUGACCCCCCACCCCAUCCCCAUAAUAUUUCUUAAAAGCAGGCAGAAUCACACAGCAGAAUCAGCAGCUGUGCUUCUAAGGGUUUCAGGGAUCCGGAAUGAGAGAAGUGCUUUGCAGAGAGGUGCAGAAGCAGUGGUGCAGCAGGACCCCAAAGGGUUAGAAUCCCGCUCCCUCCCUCGGACUUGGACGGGGAAGCCAAGGAGGCGCCCCGGCUUGGCACCGCGGGCCUCCCAGGCCAUUAGCGUCCUGCCUAGCGGUGACUCAGGGGUUCGGACGCACCUGGGACAUCAGCCUGGGGGCGGCCCUGGAUCACGUCUCCCCUUGCCCUCCCCAGAGCUGGUGGGCCUCUGCGGGGCGUGGAAUCCCGCCGUUGUUACGGGCAGGUGCGGGUGGGGAGAGAGAGGGACCGCGGGCAGGCCAGGGGUGGGGUUGAGGGUGCCUAUGACGGCAACCGUGACCGUGGCACUAGGUAAUGCAUUCUUGCGGAGGGGCAGGCGGCUAUUAGAAUUUUCGCAGGAAGCCAGCCUAGGAGCCUUGCGACUGGUAGUAAUCCGAAACGGGACUGGAAGUGUAGAGAGAGGACAAGACGCCCAGUCUAGAGGUGAAAGGGGCUCUUCCGGGGCUCCAGGCCCUCAGCCCCGCCCCCACAUCUCGCCCCGCCCCCAGGCGUCCUCUGUUGGAAGAUCGAGUUCUACCUGGUCUGCUUGUUCUAGGGUUUUUCUCCGGCCCUAG